rnacentral:rRNA from 1 species
CCUGCCAGUCCAGCAAGCUAUUCUCGAAGAUUAAGCCAUGUAUGUGCCAAGUUCAUACGUUUUACGUGAGACUGCGGACGGCUCAGUAAAUCAGUGAUAAUCUAUUUGAUUGUCUAUCCCAUUGGAUAACCGUGGGAAAUCUAGAGCUAAUACGUGCAGUUCAUUGGUGCAUUCUUUAUAGUUGCACCAAAGCAUUUAUUAGACUAAACCAUCUACUGUGCUUUUGUACAGUAAGGGGAAUCUGGAUAACUUUGCUGAUCGUAUGGCCUAGUGCCGGCGACGUUUCAAUUGAGUUUCUGCCCUAUCAACUUGUUGGUAAGGUAUUGGCUUACCAAGGUUGCAACGGGUAACGGGGAAUCAGGGUUCGAUUCCGGAGAGGGAGCCUGAGAAACGGCUACCACAUCCAAGGAAGGCAACAGGCGCGCAAAUUACCCAAUCUAGACAGUAGGAGGUGGUGAAGAGAAUUACUAAGUAGUGGUCCUAAGGAUCACUUGUUUGGAAUGAACGUAACUUAAGAAAUUCGUUGAGAAACAACUGGAGGGCAAGUCCUGGUGCCAGCAGCCGCGGUAAUUCCAGCUCCAGUAGUUUGCUUUAAAGUUGUUGCGUUUAAAACGCUCGUAGUUGGAUCACGCAGCAGUGUUCAGUAAUCUUUUGUUCGACACCAUUCAGUGCGUCCGUUUCAAUACGGCCACCGUUGGUUCGUCAUUAGAUAACAAUGCUGGACACUGCUAGUUGCACGUGAGAUAGAUUGUUGGCCUUAAAUGUGCCGAUAUUCUUGUCUUGCGGGGUGUGCCUUGAAUAAAACAGAGUGCUCAAAGCGGGUUAUUGCCUGAAUGUUAUAGCAUGGAACGAACAAUCGUGUAUAUGUGUACGUCAUCAAAUGGUGAUGAGCCCUUGGUUCGUCGUUGUUUGAGGCGUGCACGGCACCCACCAAAAUAUGGCUGUUGGUUCCAUAUACGGUGAUGAUUAAUAGGAGCGGUUGGGGGCAUCAGUAUUUGGCCGCGAGAGGUGAAAUUCUUAGACCGGCCAAGGACUAACAAAUGCAAAGGCACUUGUCUAGACCGUUUCCAUUAAUCAAGAACGAAAGUGGGAGGUUCGAAGACGAUCAGAUACCGUCCUAGUUCCCACUGUAAACUAUGCCGACCUGGGAUCGGUUUAGAGAUGUUACAAGCUCUAGAUCGGUCCCCCUGGGAAACCUGAAGUUUUUCGGUUACGGGGAGAGUAUGGUCGCAAGGCUGAAACUUAAAGGAAUUGACGGAAGGGCACCACCAGGGGUGGAGCCUGCGGCUUAAUUUGACUCAACACGGGGAAACUUACCUGGUCCGGACAUCGAUAGGAUUAACAGAUCAAUAGCUCUUUUAUGAUCCGAUGAGUGGUGGUGCAUGGCCGUUCUUAGUUCGUGGAGUGAUCUGUCAGCCUAAUUGCGGUAACGAACGAGACCACAGUCUCCAUUUAAGAGAUGGAAGCAGGUCGGUCGCUACUUGAUUCCUCACGGUUUCAAUAGCGGCAGGCUGUAGGAAGGAUAAUUAUCUUUAUUGAUGGGCAUAACGGGGUAACUUGUUGUGUUUGUUGGUAGAGUGAGUUAUUUCUCCCUUCCAUCACGUAGUAAUUGGUUCACGUUGAUUGCUGCCUUAUGGAGAGACAACGAGGUAUAUACAAGCUCGAGGAAGAGUGGCUAUAACAGGUCAGUGAUGCCCUUCGAUGUUCAGGGCUGCACGCGCGCUACAAUGAUAACGACAACGAGUGUCUGCGUCGAAAGACGUGGGUAAUCUUUAAUCGUUAUCGUGAUGGGGAUCGACCGUUGUAAUUAUCGGUCGUGAAAGAGGAAUCCCUAGUAUGCGCAUUUUAUUAGAAUGUGCAGAUUGAGUCCCUGCCCUUUGUACACACCGCCCGUCGCUACUACCGAGUGAAUGGUGUCAUGAUGCGCUGGGACUGGACGUUGGAUGGAUUUUAGGAUUCGUCCGACGCUGGGAUCAGCGUAAAAUGGCGCAAUUUCGAGGAAGUAAAAGU